GUUACGAUUAGUAUUGCAUGACAUCUUUGUUAGCAAAUGAACAUUCAACCAAGAUAUUACCCAUUGACAUUAGCCCAAUAAGUGUGACAAAAUAGCCUAAUAUGCCCACUGUGUAUAACUUGUUUGCUGUCAUAUCAAUAUAUUAAUUAUGUUUAUCUCAACUAAUGCUCCUGUUCCAAAUCUGCCCAUUAUUCAGAAGUCCGAAUCCACUGGUUGAUGUACAGCAUUGUGGUAUAAUGGCUAAAUAUGUGACAACGUGUCCUAAUCAAGGCUGUGGAUUAAAUGUGUGGGACAGUCAACCAAAUAUGGUUGGUACCAAAAUCCCUGCUGGGAACUUCCUUUUAUCAUUCGCAAUGCUUGUUGCUGGUGGGUAACCUUCAAAAACUUUGCGGAUAUUUGAGCAUAUGGGGUUGUCUCGCAUUGCAUUGUCUACUUAUUUCUGUCAUCAAUGUGUAAGCUAUAUAUUUUUUAUUCAAUGAUUAUUUGACUGUUUAUUUUCUUCUUGGUCAAGACCCCCCCCCCCGAUCGAGAAGAUUAACCCUUUAAGUGGCAAUGCGCCCUGAUGCACCCUACUUUAUUUUUU